rnacentral:rRNA from 1 species
AAGUCGUAACAAGGUUUCCGUAGGUAGUCACACCGCCCAAGGUUUGCCUCCGGAUCCCCCGCGGCGACUCUAAAUAACCGCGCAGCCGCGCGCCACGGCGCCCGGCGACGUAGUCACUGUGGCCUGGAAGAUGCCCAGCGGACCCCCCGUUGGAUAGCGACCAGCAGCUCCUGCCCCGGGAGUUCACAGAUCAAAUGCCUGCGGCCGCUUCUCUUGCGGUUCUGAUAUGACCGAGCCCCGCCUGAAUAGGCGAGGAGCACCUGGAACCUGCGGAAGGAUCAUUACCGAGAGACGGGGUCUAACCGGCCCCAACUCUUCACCCGCGUAUACCAACCUCAAUGUUGCUUUGGCGGGCCAUCGAAGUCCCUUCGUGGGAGGCUAAGGUCUCUCUGUGCCCGCCGGAAGCCCCAACCAACUCUGUUAUCAGUGUCGUCCGAGUAAAUAUACAAUAACUAAAACUUUCAACAACGGAUCUCUUGGUUCCAGCAUCGAUGAAGAACGCAGCGAAAUGCGAAAAGUAAUGUGAAUUGCAGAAUUCCGUGAAUCAUCGAAUCUUUGAACGCACAUUGCGCCCCUUGGUAUUCCGAGGGGCAUGCCUGUUCGAGCGUCAUUGCAACCCUCAAGCACUGCUUGGUAUUGGGCCUCGCCCCCCGGGGCGUGCCUGGAUUAUAGUGGCGGCCCAGUGAGACCCCGAGCGUAGCAAGAUUUUACAUCCCGCUCCGGUAGUGUCCCGCUGUGUGCCCGCCAGACAACCCCACAUGUUUAUCAACGAUUGACCUCGGAUCAGGUAGGGAUACCCGCUGAACUUAAGCAUAUCAAUAAGCGGAGGAAAAGAAACCAACAGGGAUUGCCUCAGUAACGGCGAGUGAAGCGGCAACAGCUCAAAUUUGAAAUCUGGCCCCUUCGGGGUCCGAGUUGUAAUUUGUAGAGGGUGUUUCGGGUGAGGCGCCGGCCUAAGUUCCUUGGAACAGGACGUCAUAGAGGGUGAGAAUCCCGUAUGCAGCCGGUGACCGACCCCAUGUGAAACCCCUUCGACGAGUCGAGUUGUUUGGGAAUGCAGCUCAAAAUGGGUGGUAAAUUUCAUCUAAAGCUAAAUACCGGCUGGAGACCGAUAGCGCACAAGUAGAGUGAUCGAAAGAUGAAAAGCACUUUGGAAAGAGAGUUAAAAAGUACGUGAAAUUGUUGAAAGGGAAGCGCUUGCAACCAGACCUGUGCCCGGGUGAUCAGCCAUCGUUCGCGGUGGUGCACUCGCCCGAUUACAGGCCAGCAUCGGUUUGGGCGGUAGGAAAAAGCUUCGGGAAUGUGGCUCCCCUCGGGGAGUGUUAUAGCCCGUCUGCGUAUGCUGCCAGCCUGGACCGAGGACCGCGCUUCGGCUAGGAUGCUGGCGUAAUGGUUGUAAGCGGCC